GCGCGUGGCGCGCGCGUCUGCUGUCCGCGCUGGCCGCGCCGCCCACCGCGCGCGCCGAGCCCGACCGCCUCGAGGUGCUGGUUGCAGCCUCGAAGCUCCAGUUAUUAUUCCGCGAGUGACGUCCGCCGUAUUGAUUUGAUAUUAUUCAAAUAAUAUCAAACCAUAACUCACAAAAUAUCGUUAUCAUCCUCGCUGAUGUUUUUC